GGAUUAGUUUGAUCCUGGCUCAGAUUGAACGCUGGCGGCAGGCCUAACACAUGCAAGUCGAGCGGCAGCACAAGGGAGUUUACUUCUGAGGUGGCGAGCGGCGCACGGGUGAGUAAUGCCUAGGGAUCUGCCGAGUCGAGGGGGAUAACAGUUGGAAACGACUGCUAAUACCGCAUACGCCCUACGGGGGAAAGAGGGGGACCUUCGGGCCUCUCGCGAUUGGAUGAACCUAGGUGGGAUUAGCUAGUUGGUGAGGUAAUGGCUCACCAAGGCGACGAUCCCUAGCUGUUCUGAGAGGAUGAUCAGCCACACUGGGACUGAUACACGGCCCAGACUCCUACGGGAGGCAGCAGUGGGGAAUAUUGCACAAUGGGGGAAACCCUGAUGCAGCCAUGCCGCGUGUGUGAAGAAGGCCUUCGGGUUGUAAAGCACUUUCAGUAGGGAGGAAAGGGUGAGUCUUAAUACGGCUCAUCUGUGACGUUACCUACAGAAGAAGGACCGGCUAACUCCGUGCCAGCAGCCGCGGUAAUACGUAGGGUGCGAGCGUUAAUCGGAAUUACUGGGCGUAAAGCGUGCGCAGGCGGUUUUUUAAGAUAGGCGUGAAAUCCCCGGGCUUAACCUGGGAACUGCGCUUAUGACUGGAAGACUAGAGUACGGCAGAGGGGGGUGGAAUUCCACGUGUAGCAGUGAAAUGCGUAGAGAUGUGGAGGAACACCGAUGGCGAAGGCAGCCCCCUGGGCCGAUACCGACGCUCAUGCACGAAAGCGUGGGGAGCAAACAGGAUUAGAUACCCUGGUAGUCC
rnacentral:rRNA from 1 species